rnacentral:tRNA from 1 species
UGAGAGGUGGUCAGCCGGGGGGGAGGCAACGGUUUGCAAAACCGUGAUACGUGGGUUCAAAUCCCAUCCGCACUCUCAA